rnacentral:rRNA from 1 species
CUUGACCUCAAAUCGGGUGAGACUACCCGCUGAACUUAAGCAUAUCAUUAAAGCGGAGGAAAAGAAACUAACAAGGAUUCCCCUAGUAACUGCGAGUGAAGCGGGAAAAGCUCAAAUUUAAAUCUGGUGGCCUUUGGCCAUCCGAGUUGUAAUUUAGAGAAGCGUCUUCCGCGCUGGACCGUGCACAAGUCUCCUGGAAUGGAGCGUCAUAGAGGGUGAGAAUCCCGUCUUUGGCACGGACUCCCGGUGCUUCUGUGAUGCGCUCUCGACGAGUCGAGUUGUUUGGGAAUGCAGCUCAAAAUGGGUGGUGAACUCCAUCUAAAGCUAAAUAUUGGCGAGAGACCGAUAGCGAACAAGUACCGUGAGGGAAAGAUGAAAAGCACUUUGGAAAGAGAGUGAAACAGUACGUGAAAUUGUUGAAAGGGAAACGCUUGAAGUCAGUCGCGUCGACCGAGACUCAGCCUUGCCUCGGCUUGGUGUACUUCUCGGCUUGACGGGUCAGCAUCGAUUUCGAUCCUCGGAUAAUGGCAAGGGAAAGGUGGCACCUUUUUAGGUGUGUUAUAGUCCUCUGUCGCAUGCGAGGGUCGGGAUCGAGGAACUCAGCACGCGCCUCCGGGUGUCGGGGCCCUUUGGCCCACGUUACGUGCUUAGGAUGCUGGCNUAAUGGCUUUAAACGACCCGUCUUGAAACACGGACCAAGGAGUCUAACAUACCCGCGAGUGUUCGGGUGGAAAACCCGUGCGCGCAAUGAAAGUAAAAGUUGGGACCUCUGUCGUGGAGGGCACCGACGCCCGGACCAGACCUUCUGUGACGGCUCUGCGGUAGAGCGUGUAUGUUGGGACCCGAAAGAUGGUGAACUAUGCCUGAAUAGGGUGAAGCCAGAGGAAACUCUGGUGGAGGCUCGUAGCGAUUCUGACGUGCAAAUCGAUCGUCAAAUUUGGGUAUAGGGGCGAAAGACUAAUCGAACCAUC